rnacentral:lncRNA from 1 species
UGCUACUGCUGCUCCACCUCUGGCACAGCCCUCCCCCCGUCAGCAGGUUUCUAGGCAACAACUUCCACCACCACCUCCCCUUCCACCACCACCACCUCUGUCUAACCCUCCUCUGGCUAAGGAGCAGCUUGUUCAUCCACCACCGCCACCACCGCCACCACCACAUCCGGAGAAACAUGAUCCUCCAAUUGUUACCCUGGAUGACCUCUUUCGGAAAACCAGGGCAACUCCUCGGAUAUAUUAUCUUCCAUUGUCAGAAGAACAAGUGGCAGCAAAACUUGCAGAACCAGGCAAAAAUGCCAGGCAGUAG